GCCGGGCUGCGGGCUCAAGUGCAAGUGCGUGUUCCUUUGUCGUUGGGUAUCACAUCGGCCAGCGUAGGUAGCGUGAAGUAGGCAGCGGGGCCUGCUGCGGCGGGGUCCCAGGCUUGCCACAAGCCCCACUAAGAAUUGCCAAUGUAGCUCAAUGCCCCUCGCUGUAGGGCCUCGGUUUGCGGCCCAUGGCUCCAACCUUUCGGUCGAUCCGUCUCCCCCUCUUUAUGCCCCGGCCAACUGCAGCUCCAGCCCCAGCUAUACCUUCGGCCCAACAGCUGCAGCUUGAAGCGCUGGAGCCUUGAACCGCUCCUACCUGCUCCUACCGACUGCAGGAGUCAUGUUCCUGCUUGAGGCCUGCUCCCUUGCCGUGACUUGCCCUACCUCGCCUCCACCUUCCAGACGCCAUCCACGCAUGCCUUCCCUUGUGUCCCACUCCCAAGCCUUCCCUUAGCCCUCCAGCACAUUAAUAACUCCCAGAUGCCCCACACCCUUACGGGACCAGGGCGACCUCGACGGUCUCGCGGCAGGCAGGCGCGUGUCACAGGCAUGGCUCGCAAACUUACAGCUUUCUUGCCCCGGGUUGUUUGCUGUCAACAUAUGUUGCCUAAAAUAGUCCAGAACAUCACGGCUCGCUCGCUUUGCUUGCAACCUUGCGACAGUCAGUUGUCGCGAACUCGCUUCUCGCUCCUGCUGAUUUUGACCCGCCGCCUACUUGAAAUCAAUAGACCCUACAAAACAUCAAAGUGUUUCACUCGCAGUUUUUAGCGAAUAGAGGUUACAUGUGGGUUACAAGUGUUUCACUCGCAGUUUUUAGCCCAGCUAUCUACAUAUGCCAUGGAAAGUGUGACGCACCCGGUGCGUUUGCGCUACAGCGCGAUUCAGCUCGAACCAACUAGCAUGAUCGAUUACUCGUAGCUUCCUGUAUACGUGAUCUUGUUUCCAGGCCGCGAGAGCGAGUGCAGCGUAUGAACGAAGCCGGCAACUGCGCUUUCUUGGCUUCCUCGAGAAUGCGCGCAGCUAUAACUUACAGUGCGAUGUAUUAGCGACACAGUCUGGCCUGCCAGAGCGCGCACUUGCAAGAAUUUCAGAGCGCGCUCGUUCCGAUCGGCUGGGAUGAAAGCUUACACGAUAUGUGCGAGCAGCUGUAUCCGUUGAUAUAAUCGGUGAGCAAAGUCAUGCACAGUUGCGAUGUGCUGUGAACUUUUAGCACGCUCGGCGACCCAGCUCGGCGAACCUGCUCUACGCUCCUCGCCCUGGCGGGGGGAGGGUUUCCUGCACCGCCCCCCCUUCUGCGCGCUUCACGACACGCCUGCGGGGGGAGGGAAAGUUGCCUAGCGCAGGCAUCUGGCGGGGUGGGUCUGGUCUGGCAGCUAAGUUCCAGAGGCAACCUGACCCCCGCGCACGCGCAUCUGNNNNNNNNNNNNNNNNNNNNNNNNNNNNNNNNNNNNNNNNNNNNNNNNNNNNNNNNNNNNNNNNNNNNNNNNNNNNNNNNNNNNNNNNNNNNNNNNNNNNGCCUCAGCGGCGGGCUAAGCGAAUCGUAUGGGAGGGGGGUGCAGGGGGGAGGGUGUCCCCGGAGGGUGGGAAAGUUGCCUAGCGCAGGCAUCUGGCGGGGUGGGUCUGGUCUGGCAGCUAAGUUCCAGAGGCAACCUGACCCCCGCGCACGCGCAUCUGAGGUUGCUGGGGUGGCCCUGCGCGGGCAUCUUGGGGUGCCAUGUCCACGCAUCUUGACUGGCGGGGAUGGGCCGCCCAGGCAUCUUAGCUGCCGUGCCCAGGCAUCUGGGAUGGCGGAGGCGGUCCGCCCGGGCAUCUUAGCUGCCGUGCCCCCGCAGCUUGACUGGCUGAUUUCCCCCACCCGAAAACGUAGCGUGCCGAGUUUAGAUUGCGGGAAUGUCAGCAAGCACGGUAUGCCCACAUGGGUACCCCACGGGUACCCACGGUGCCGGUGCCGGUGCUGGUGCUGGUGCCGGUGCGGUGCCCAUGGCAAGCUCAAUCCGGCCUGCUUCCCAAUGAAUACUCUACACGCAGAGGCGUCAAGUGCGAUAUAAUCAGUACAACUAGGACUGCAGGAGGGUUCGGACAUGACAACACGGUCUGGGGCCGCUAAAGCUGGGAGUAAGCCGUGGAGCCAGUUGUGAUCUAUUUCAUGGUAUCUGCUAUCUGGGUGACAAGCUGUAAUCCCUCGGAAAGCUGGCUGCGGCGCCGAGUUGGCUGUCACGCCCCGCGAACCAGUGGUUCGCAGAGAGCCUUUUGUUUCCCUGCUUGCCCGGUCGUUAUUAGACUUGUUACUGCUUUACGUGUAGCCUUCUUGUGGCACCCCAAGCCCCAAAAGAAUUGACCGGCUCAUACCGCAACUUACAGUAGACUUCUGCAGCUCGAAACAGUCAACAUCUAAAGAUAUUGUGGUUGCUUUAGUAUCAGCACGCACUCAGUAUAGGCCAGCAUGGCCCAGGCCCCCGACAUUCUCGCGUCAGUGGUGUCUGCGUGUAUGCGUGCAGGAGUGCUCCGUACCCACUUACACACUGCCCGUUACCCAUUCCAAACCCUCUUGCGGCAUUUUUACCAAGCAACUAGGGUGGCUACAAUAGGCAGCUCGGAUGUGCUAGCAGGGGCGCCGCGGCAUCUGCAAUGCCUCGCGCAGGCAUCCGUGCUGAUGGCGCGGGGUCGCGCAGGCAUCUGCCAUCCCUCGGCGCAGGCAUCUGGACUGCCGCGGCGACCCGCCCCAGGCAGCUUCAACCCCCCGCGCACGCAGCCAAAUAUGGCUCGGCAGGGUACCCGGCUCACCCUUACAGCCAGAGGCCACCGGCAACUUUUCGGAUUUCCUACCCUCCUGUGUCCCUCCCCCCGCUUGAGGGGGGGCGCAGGGGGGGGCACCCCCCCGCUAAUUUGCAUAUCGAUCAGGAGAGCCCCCCCCCCUGACAUCGACUACAACAAACGUCGAUGCAGGCCACGAUCGGUCGGCACUGAUAGCUGGGCGCAGGGGCUAAGUUGCCAGUAUUGAGUUUGCAUUCAUUCAUUCCUGAGCCCCAUUCAGCCCCAUUCCACCGCCAACCCUCAGCCAGCCCACCACCCCUCAAGUCCACACGGCCACCCCACACGGGCCCACCAUGUGUGUGACGGUGCCGAUGCGGCUGACCAGCAGUCCCGGGUCCAUCCCCCUGACCCCCCCUGCUCCUGCUGCUCCAUGGCCCCGGCCUGCUCCUCCUCCCGCCGCUGCGCCUCCUCCCGCUGCUCCCGCCCCUUCCAGUCUCUCGGCCCCGGUGGGUGCGCCUAGCUGCCGUGCCAGUCCAAAGCCCGCCAGUUUGGCCACGAAGCCGCGGGGGUCGGUGUCGGAGCGCUGGGGGGGGCGGUCAUGGAGUUGUGUAUUAGGAAACGUGUGGAACGGGAAACGCGCUAUGCAUGUGUGUUGAACGAGGUGGAAAGAAAGUAGGGAUUGGGGACAUCCGCUCUCAUAAGCAAGCAGCCGACAUCCCAAAGCCACGCGCAAGCAGCGCUGGCAACCGAACAGCCCCCGCAUCCCCCCCUCAUCCCCCCCUCACCGCCCCCUUCCCCACCCCCACCUGCAGCAGCACGUUGGCGGUCUUGAGGUCGCCGUGUGCGAUGUGGCGGGAGUGCAGGUAGCGCAGCGAGGGCGUGCAGCCCUUUCACAGCUCCUUGUGAGAUGCCACCAAUCCCACCACCCCCACCCCAAUCACUUGUCAAGUACAGGUGCUGCGCCGCAGCCUGUACGACGCCUACAACAGCUUUCUGGAUGGCCUGCGCACGCGCUUCACCGUGCCUGAGGCCGGGCGGCCCAAGACCAUGUCCGCGCUGGCACGCAUGGUGCCCACGGCGAAUCACGGACCAGGUGCGACAGGGAAGGCACGGCCUGGGGGCGUGCCAGGUACAACGGUUCCCACCCUUCCCCACCCAGCCCUCCGCCAGCCCCUCGCCCGGCCCUGCGUCGCCUGUUGCGGCCGCUCCCCCAUUUCACAGGCCUUCAGGCACUCUAUGUGGACCACAGGGAGGCGGUGGACGCGCGAAAGCAGGCUGCGCUCCCGGAAUGGGGCCUGCAUUGCGGCCCAUGCCAGUCGAAAUCGCUGGAAAAACACUCGCCGACCGAUUUUCGGGGGUAAACCCGUCAGUUGCAGUCAAACCUAGUUGGUUUUAGCUUUGCUGCUUCCAACAUUUGCGCCUUCCCGUAGGGCGGGACUCGUUUCGGGAGAGAGAGUGACUCGGCAAAACGUGACUCUAUGUAAAAUAAGAGGUAAGCGUUGAGCCACUGCAAGAUAAUAAUAUUUCGCACAUGGACAACGAAUGCAUUUUCGUGGGCUGCAGCUCAGCUGCAAUCUCUCUCGCUGAGCAGUCGACAAAGCCUUUCAAGUAGACGUAAUCAAGUUGGCAAUCACAAAUAUAGCUGGAAUCCUGUCUUUGAUAUUGACUCCCAGCUUUGCUCCUCCUGCCUCGUAGCUUUCUUUUGUUCAACGCUCCGACUCGUGGGAGGCUUCAGGACACACGCAGUAAGUUUGUGGGAUUCAUCGAGCUGGCGCGGGCGGGGCGAUGCCUAAGGGGGAAGGCUCGGGUGGGGCGAAGGCGGUGCCUUUGGCAUCGGCCAGAGCGAUGACCGCUCGGGGCCCUUCAGAGGGCGGGGCCGCCCAGGGCCUUAGAAAGCAGGGGGGAGGCUCGUGUGGGGCGGGGGCAGACCGCGAGGGGGCUUAGGAAGCAGGGGGAGGCUCGCGCAGGGAGGGCGGGGGUGGACCGCUCGGGACCUCCUAGUGCAGAGGUGGGAAAUAUUUGCUAGUUUUCCUCUGAACGCAUUGAAGGCUCUGAUGGCAGGGGGCCGCGUGGGGGGCUGCUCGGGCUACUUAAGGCAUGGGUACGGCAGCUCUGGGCUGGGCGGGCCGCAUGGGGCCCUUCCGGGGUCUUCUUGAGGCAUGGGGCGGGCAGCUGGCGGGGCUGGCCUCGGGGUGGGCUUGCGUGGGCCUGCUUGGGCUACCAAAGGCUUAGUGAUAAGGUCGGGUCCGGUAUGGGCUUAUAAAAGGCUGGGCGGGCCUGGAUUCAGCCAUGGUGUGCCACUCUUUUGCCACUCUUACACCUAUGCAUUUUCUUCCCGCCCUUGGUAAACGGCAGAAUGCACAAGUGCAACUGUGUGUACAGCGCUGGUGCUGCGCCGGCGCACCUGCUGGGCAAGCAAGUGCGGCUACGUAUCGCGGUGAGGGCGGGUGCGCUGUACACGCGCCCGGCACGCCACGGCCGGUCAGUCCUGGAGCGCAAGCUCAACAAGGUGCUCACGAACCAGGGCAAAAUGCAGAAGGACAUCGGCGACAUGCAGAAGGACAUCUCACAGCUGAAGCAGGACACGGCAGUGAACAAGGCGUUGGUCGCUGUCAACCUGACGCCGAUGGCGUCACUGGUGCUGGGAGUGCUGUACUUCCUGUACACUAACUCUAAGGUCUUGGGCGGCAGCUGAAGUACAGCACUCCCAGCCUUCAGCCGCCGCCCGAGACCUUGAAGUUGGUGUACACAAAGUACAGCGCUCCCAGCUCCAGUGACGCCACCAGCGUCAGGUUGACAGCGACCAACGCCUUGUUGACUGCAGUGUCCUGCUUCAGCUGCGAGAUAUUAUUCUGCAUAUCGCCGAUGUCCUUCUGCAUUUUGCCCUGGUUCGUGAGCACCUUGUUGAGCUUGUGGGAGCUAUCACACGGAUCUAACAUGGGAUGAAGUUUGCUGCGGAGUUAGGCAGCAGGUAUGGACAGCAGCUGUGAUUGUCUGCAAGUCUAGUGUGAAGACUCAGCGGUGGGAGCUUAUCCGCUGAUCAACCUCAGGUGCUACUUCUGAGGGGUGCUGUGUUGCCAGUUCUGGUGUGUGCAUGUGAUUUGCGACAACCAGAGGAGUGGUACGUGUGGAGAAGGCACAUGUGGAUUGAACUGUGCGUGGGCCCAGUUAACGCAGUGGUAGUGGAAACAGGUCAGGGUUGAAUUUGGUUGGUUAAGUGAAUGUGUUUUGUAGGGCUGAACUGCAUGCACGCUGGCAUGGCAGCCUGCGUGACCACUUAGUGCUGCAUGGGCACCCCCUUGCACGCGGCAGGGGCUGACCGCUAGGGCUCUCACCUAACAGGGGAAAGGCGCGGGGAAAGGCGGGGGGAAAGCAAACACGAUAUGCUGCCUACAGUAUUGCCAAAAACGCUCAGGUAGCUGCAAGGGUUUCUUGUAGAAUGUCGCGUUUCUGGUUGUACACAUUGUUGCAGGAAGAUGAAGUUUUCGACGACCGGUUGCUUGCUGACUACCCUGGCCGCGCGCUGCUAGCGCGCUCAGAAAGAGGUAACCAAAGGCAAGAGACUCUGGUUGACGGAAUACUAACUGGGUGUCAUGGCGAAAGAGAAAGAAAGCACGGCUUGGUCACAGCAGCGGAUCCGUCCUCCAGCCAGGUCCAGCUUAUAGAUACUCAGGUACACAACUAAGGAUUAACAGGUUGAAAAGGAAGGCUCAACUAAAGGGCAUCACGUAAAUUGUCGGAACUGCGACCGGGUUGAGCCAUGCAGCAAUCGCGCUGUCGUUACAUCCUCGGCCGCCCGGCGCCCUUGCUCAUUUAACCGCAUCCAUCACUUCUCCCUCGGCCCCUGCGGGUGCGCCCAGUUGCCGCGCCAGUCCAAAGUCCGCCAGUUUGGCCACGAAGCCGCGGGGGUCGGUGUCGGAGCGCUCGGGGGGGGGGGGAGGGGGGGGGGGGGCAGCGGUCAUGGAGCUGGUGGCGUGUGUGGUAGGACACGUGUGGAACGUGUUAGGAAACGUGUGGAACGGGAAACGCGCUAUGCAUGUGUGUUGGAAGAGGUGAAAAGAAAGUAGGGAUUGGGGGCAUUCGCUCUCACAAGCAAGCAGCUGUCGUGUCCUGGCGUGUGAGCGUGCGUGCCGUGUCACACCGACCAUUGGGUCCGGCUUUGCAUUUCCUCUUUUCAUUAGCGUGCAGACAAGACAAUAAGAUUUACGUUCUGCAUGAUUUGGAGUCACGCUUGUAUGCGCGGACUAUAGAAAGAUCUGUUCGGAUAAGAGCGUCGUACUGCAUGGAGGCAGCGACGUCUCGAGGCCAAGUGCGCGGGAGAGAGCCACCGGGUUGUCUUUUGGCUCUCGUCCCGAACGUGCGCCCCGUAUCAUAGACCAAGCCUAGUCUCGUUGUAAUAUUUGAGAGUCUGAUCAACUCCUACGACGGGAAUAGCGACAUCUCCGGCCGGAGUCUGGAGCUAAGCCACACAGUACGUUGAGCAGGGCUGCGUAAACGCAUUUGCCUUGUGUGCUUGUGUAGGUAACAGAGACACGAACCCUCGUAGAAUGUCCGUUUACACACGUACGGGCGCGACACAGCCGACAUCCCAAAGCCACGCGCAAGCAGCGCUGACAACCGAACAGCCCCUUCAUCCCCCCCUCAUCCCCCCCUUCCCCACCCCCACCUGCAGCAGCACAUUGGCGGUCUUGAGGUCGCCGUGUGCGAUGUGGCGUGAGUGCAGGUAGCGCAGCGAGGGCGUGCAGCCCUUUCACAGCUCCUUGUGAGAGCCACCAGGUUUGUUUGCAUGGGCCCAUGCAGUCGAAAUGCAGCUGAAAAAAAACUCGCCGACCGAUUUUCGGGGGGUAAACCCGUCAGUUGCAGUCAAACCUAAUUGUUUUUAUUUUGCUGCUUUCAAAAAUUUGCGCCUUCCCGUACGAAGCUUCAGCCGCCGCCCGAGACCUUGAAGUGACUCGGCAAAACGUGACUCUCUGUAAAUUAAGAGGUAAGCGUUGAGCCACUGCAGCGACAGCGAAUGCAUUUUCGUGGGCUGCAGCUCAGCUGCAAUCUCUCUCACUGAGCAGUCAACAAAGCCUUUCAAGUAGACGUAAUCAAAGUUGGCAAUCACAAAUAUAGCUGGAAUCCUGUCUUUGAUAUUGACUGGCUUUGCUCCCCCUGCCUUGUAGCUUUCUUUUGUUCAACGCUCCGACUCGUGGGAGGCUUCAGGACACACGCAGUAAGUUUGUGGGAUUCAUCGAGCUGGCGCGGGCGGGGCGAUGCCUAAGGGGGAAGGCUCGGGCGGGGCGAAGACGGUGGCUUCGGCAUCGGCCAGAGCGAUGACCGCUCGGGGCCAGGGGCCGCCCAGGGCCUUAGAAAGCAGGGGGGAGGCUUGUGCGGGGCGGGGGCAGACCGCGAGGGGCUUAGAAAGCAGGGGGAGGCUCACGCAGGGAGGGCGGGGGUGGACCGCUCGGGACCUCCUAGUGCAGAGGUGGGAAAUAUUUGCUAGUUUUCCUCUGAACGCCUUGAAGGCUCUGAUGGCAGGGGGCCGCGUGGGGGGCUGCUCGGGCUACUUAAGGCAUGGGCCGGCAGCUCUGGGCUGGGUGGGCCGCAUUGGGGCCUUCCUGGGUCUACUUAAGGCAUGGGGCGGGCAGCUCGGGGCUGGCCUCGGGGUGGGCUUGCGUGGGCCUGCUCGGGCUACCAAAGGCUUAGUGAUAAGGUCGGGUCCGGUAUGGGCUUACAAAAGGCUGGGCGGGCCUGGAUUCAGCCAUGGUGUGCCACUCUUUUGCCACUCUUACACCUAUGCAUUUUCUUCCCGCCCUUGGCAAACGGCAGAAUGCACAAGUGCAACUGCGUGUACAGCGCUGGUGCUGCACCAGCGCACCUGCCGGGCAAGCAAGUGCGGCUACGUACCGCGGUGAGGGCGGGUGCGCUGUACACGCGCCCGGCACGCCACGGCCGGUCAGUCCUGGAGCGCAAGCUCAACAAGGUGCUCACGAACCAGGGCAAAAUGCAGAAGGACAUCGGCAAAAUGCAGAAGGACAUCGGCAAAAUGCAGAAGGACAUCGGCGAAAUGCAGAAGGACAUCUCGCAGCUGAAGCAGGACACGGCAGUGAACAAGGCGUUGGUCGCUAUCAACCUGACACCGGUGGCGUCACUGGUGCUGGGAGUGCUGUACUUCGUCUCGGGCGGCGGCUGAAGCGUCUAGGGUGGCGGCUGAAGCUUCAGCCGCCGCCCGAGACCNNNNNNNNNNNNNNNNNNNNNNNNNNNNNNNNNNNNNNNNNNNNNNNNNNNNNNNNNNNNNNNNNNNNNNNNNNNNNNNNNNNNNNNNNNNNNNNNNNNNNNNNNNNNNNNNNNNNNNNNNNNNNNNNNNNNNNNNNNNNNNNNNNNNNNNNNNNNNNNNNNNNNNNNNNNNNNNNNNNNCAGCCGCCGCCCGAGACCUUAAAGUUGGUGUACACGAAGUACAGCACUCCCAGCACCAGUGACGCCACCGGUGUCAGGUUGAUAGCGACCAACGCCUUGUUUACUGCCGUGUCCUGCUUCAGCUGCGAGAUGUCCUUCUGCAUUUCGCCGAUGCUUCAGCCGCCGCCCGAGACCUUGAAGUUGGUGUACACGAAGUAGGUGUGUGAAUUUUGGUUUAUGCUUGACCGGUCAAACCAAGCGCAGGGGGCGGAUGUUGUUUCUCUGGGUCGCAGAUGGCCCUUUGCGGCGUGGGUACGGCGUGCCCCCGCUUGUCCCUUCAAUUGUAAUCCGCAUCCUUAUCCGCUGAUCAAUCUCAGGUGCUACUUCUGAGGGGUGAUGUGUUGCCAGUUCUGGUGUGUGCAUGUGAUUUGCGACAACCAGAGGAGUGGUACGUGUGGAGAAGGCACAUGUGGAUUGAACUGUCAACUUCAAGCACGUCAAUAACUGUGCGUGGGCCUGGUUAGGUAUGUGGGGGAGGGGGGUUGUCUGCAACCAUCGGCCAUACUGGGCCACGGUAACGCCUCGAAACACGGGCUCGCAGAUCGGCGCUGGGUGACGCGCAUUCCCUAAUCAGGGGCCUCCUCCUGCCCCGGCGCAUCAGUGCCAACUGGCUCGCAGACCGGCUUCUAGAAAGCAGGAUAGCUCUCGCGGGGAAACCAUCAGAACCCGCCGCACCAGCGUCCUCACCCGUAGAGCAGCGACCUAGGAAGGUCGAGAUGGCACUCUUUUGGGGAAGUUCGGCACAAGUAUGUUCAGUGCCUACACAGGUAACGGAGCCGAACCGUUCCUGAUGGGUUUCGAUCUUGCGACCUUGAUGUGACUCCGGCACCCAACUCCGGCAUCGUGGCGCAAGACCACCCGCGUACAAAGCCCACGGGCGGGCGGUUAGCUGAUAGAGGUUACAUGUGGGACGACAGCCGUGGACUAGCCAGGGCCCCAAAAACGUACGAGACACGCACGCUCACCCGAGGAGAGAUCCCCGAAUGACCCCCAUGCUCCUCGCCUCCGGAGAGGGGAGGAACCCCAGGCCCGGCUCACCGCAAACGCUAGCGCUGCUCACCUAAGCCGUGGGUCGGCGUCAUAAGACUACCUCUUGCGAGUCCCUAAGCUGACAAGCUAGGGUGAGGCCGGUGGCGAGUCCGCUGUUGGCCCUACCAAGAUAACCCCUCCAACAUCAUCUGACGCUAGGAAUGGGUGCUGGUUCGGGACAAGGUCCCAGCGGCGCGGAGGCCGACGCAGACUCACAAACGCAGCUAGCCGUGACCAGAAGUCCGCAAUCACCUCCACACCGAUCCUUCGCACAACAGCAACCUCCGCAGUCCGGUCUGCAGCAUCACGGCAAGCGUAAAGGCGCUGUCGGCCGUAUUCCAGGGCCGCUACAGCAGCCAAGCACACGAUGUCCCACACCGCCUGCGAUAGCCCUGGUGGCGCCUGUACUAACCACAACUGGUUCCGUGUGAUGUCCACAUUCGCAUGCUCCCGCAUCACAUCACGCAGAGCCUCCGCCACCACACAGUCCCAGAAGUGAUGAACCCUAGCGCCAGCAGUCAUCUGAGUCCCACACGGGCAUUUCUCCACGCGUCCAUCUGCGGCCCACGCCGCAAGCAUCCCAAAGCCCGUGAACCCAUUGACUGCCAGACGCCAGAGCGGUUCCUUGUGUCGCGGCUCCCACACCAACGCCCACAGCCGCGCCAGGGCCGCCCGCAGCGCAUGAAUCGCUUCCGCUGGCGGCGCGGCGCCGCUGUAGGCCUCCUGGAUGAAGGCCAAGUGACGCACGCGGAGCGCGUCGUACGCAGGCGCAAGUUGAAGCUGGGUUGCCUGCUUCACCGUAAGGGUCAGCAAGGGCACGUCAGCCGCGCCAUGCCGCCACCCCAGGCUCUGCGCAAGCAGCAGCCAUACCUGGGGGGCAGGAGGCGCUGUAAGCGAUCCUGUCAUCCUAGGAUGCGUUUUGUGACUGCUUACAAUUGGUAUCGAGACCGAAUAGCGCAUACGUGCGAUACGGCCUCCGAGGUCGCAAGGUCGAUCCGCGCCAAGCGCGCUUAUCUCACAGUCACGCACCGAGCUUAAACAACGGCAAGCCCUUGUACGCGCUGAGUGCUUAACCCGCUGACCGCCGCCAGCAAAAAUGGGUUCGAGGACGCACCCUUCUAAGGGGGGGGAAUGUAAGCGAUCCUGUCAUCCUAGGAUGCGUUUUGUGACUGCUUACAGGCGCGGAGGCCGCGCCGCCAGGCGCAUGCAGUGUGGCCGACGCCGCCACCCUCCACGCCGCCGGUACACGGGCCAGCAGCGCGGAGAACUGGGCAGCAGCAUCCGGGCCGGACUGCAGCUCCGGCGGCACGCGCGCCAUAUCCGUAAUGCGCAGGAUGGGGCGCAGGACGGACCGCUUGUACUGUAUAGUGCAGCGACGUGCGAGGCGCGGCCCGAGCGCACCAGCCGGCUUGGAAGCCACCAGCUGGCGCACCGCGGCCAGCGCCUCCCAGCACCGCACUGCCGUGCCGAGCGUGAGCAGACCCGGCAGCGCCAUGAGAGCUGGGAAGUCACGUUCCAAGCCACCCGCUUGAAGCCCCGCCGCACACGGCAAGACUGGAUUGCCCCAGAGCGGAAGUGCAAAGCACCAGGGCCCUGGCACCAGCACAGCCGGGCGUAGGAUUGUGACCGGAGGCAGGUAGCUGAGGGCACCCAGGAGGCGCACGAGGGCCGGGCAGGUUGCCGCCACCGGCUGGCCGAAGAUUGCACAGCCAUCGGCAGCGGGUCCGACACCGCCGGCCGCCCGCUGCAUCGUCAGGACGCAGAGGGGGUGGGCGGCCGUGUGUAGCUGCUGCACCAGGGCGGUGGCGGCAGCUGUCCACGGCGGUACGUAGGUGCCAGCCGCAGAGCCGUGCAUGUGCUGCAGCCAGCGCACAGCCAACACAGCGUGUCGGGCGCGCACGUGUUCCACCACCGGCAGCAGUCCAAAGCCGCCAUCGCGUGGCGGCAGGGCGACGCAGUCGGAGGGGAGGCCGGGAGGUCGGGCCCGGCCAGCACCUUGCGGCGUGGCAACGAUGAUGCGGCGGUCCACAAACCGCACAAGCGUUUUGAGGAAGUCUGCCAAAACCGUCUGCGGCGGCAGACCCGCAAACUCCAUAUGGUAGAGCACACGGCUGACGGCGUAGGAGGAGGCACAGAAGCCACGGCCAAAGGCAGUUAGGGGGAGGCCGCAGAGCGUCCCCAGGGUGCCAAUGGCAGGGGAGAGGGAAGGAGCCCCCUGGGCUGCAGCCGUGCCAAGUGGGAGGUCGUAGAAGACCACACCCAGCGUGCGCGAGUGCGAGACUACGCGCAAGCCAUGCGCCAUAGCAACUGUGUUGGGCGGGGCAGGCGCGGCUACGGCACCGCCAGCACCCGCGGCAGAGCCGCCGGCCGUCACGCCACCAGUGACCACAACACCGGCAGCUGCCCAAACCGCGCCCGCCCGAGAAGGUACCGCACCACCGGCCGCCAAGAUGCCGGUUAGGUAUGUGGGGGAGGGGGGUUGUCUGCAACCAUCGGCCAUACUGGGCCACGGUAACGCCUCGAAACACGGGCUCGCAGAUCGGCGCUGGGUGACGCACAUUCCCUAAUCAGGGGCCUCCUCCUGCCCCGGCGCAUCAGCGCCAACUGGCUCGCAGACCGGCUUCUAGUAAGCAGGAUAGCUCUCGCGGGGAAACCAUCAGAACCCGCCGCACCAGCGUCCGCACCCGUAGAGCAGCGACCUAGGAAGGCCGAGAUGGCGCUCGUUCGGGGAAGUUCGGCACAAGUAUGCUCAGUGCCUACACAGGUAACGGAGCCGAACCGUUCCCGAUGGGUUUCGAUCUUGCGACCUUGAUGUGACUCCGGCACCCAACUCCGGCAUCGUGGCGCAAGACCACCCGCGUACAAAGCCCACCCGCGUACAAAGCCCCCGGUUAGGUAUGUGGGGGAGGGGGGUUGUCUGCAACCAUCGGCCAUACUGGGCCACGGUAACGCCUCGAAACACGGGCUCGCAGAUCGGCGCUGGGUGACGCGCAUUCCCUAAUCAGGGGCCUCCUCCUGCCCCGGCGCAUCAGCGCCAACUGGCUCGCAGACCGGCUUCUAGAAAGCAGGAUAGCUCUCGCGGGGAAACCAUCAGAACCCGCCGCACCAGCGUCCUCACCCGUAGAGCAGCGACCUAGGAAGGCCGAGAUGGCGCUCGUUCGGGGAAGUUCGGCACAAGUAUGUUCAGUGCCUACACAGGUAACGGAGCCGAACCGUGCCUGAUGGGUUUCGAUCUUGCGACCUUGAUGUGACUCCGGCACCCAACUCCGGCAUCGUGGCGCAAGACCACCCGCGUACAAAGCCCACGGGCGGGCCGGUUAGCGAAUUUGGGGGAGGGGGGUUGUCUGCAACCAUCGGCCAUACUGGGCCACGGUAACGCCUCGAAACACGGGCUCGCAGAUCGGCGCUGGGUGACGCGCAUUCCCUAAUCAGGGGCCUCCUCCUGCCCCGGCGCAUCAGCGCCAGCUGGCUCGCAGACCGGCUUCUAGAAAGCAGGAUAGCUCUCGCGGGGAAACCAUCAGAACCCGCCGCACCAGCGUCCUCACCCGUAGAGCAGCGACCUAGGAAGGCCGAGAUGGCGCUCUUUCGGGGAAGUUCGGCACAAGUAUGUUCAGUGCCUACACAGGUAACGGAGCCGAACCGUUCCUGAUGGGUUUCGAUCUUGCGACCUUGAUGUGACUCCGGCACCCAACUCCGGCAUCGUGGCGCAAGACCACCCGGUUAGCGAAUAGAGGUUACAUGUGGGAUGACAGCCGCGGGCAAGCCAGGGCUUCAUAAACGCACGAGACACGUACGCACACUCGAGGAGAGAACCUCGAAUGACCCCCAUGCUCCUCGCCUCACUAAAGGAGGGGAGGAACCCCGAGCAAGGCUCACCGCAAACGCUAGCGCUGCUCACCUAAGCCGCGGGUCGGCGUCAGACUGACUGCCACUUUGCAAAGUGCAACUCCUACCCCAAAACACCAGCACCAACAGGGCAGGGCCCUCACACUGUUGGGUGCAGCCCGAAGCUGCAUCCUGUAGACGGCCUAGGGCCGUGCAAGUUCGCUGAACCACGAGGAUCAGCCGGUCCGACCCACCAGACAGCACAAGCCACAGCGCCCGCAACCUAGCGCAGGCGGUGCAGGCACGCCCACCGCCCAACCAAGUCCACACAUCCUCGCAACACCCUAGCACAGCAGACAGCGCCAGCCAGCCUUCGCUUAGUCGGCCUGCGCCAGCCAGCCUUCGCUGGACUGCCUUCGCCAGACUGCAUUCGCCAAGCAGGUCUCUCCACUGGCCACACCACGAGGUGUGUAGAUGCGCCCACAGCUCCAGCCGCCGCCGCCCGGAAGACGCCGGUCCUGGCUCCCGCCGCAGCGUGCCCCGGUUCACGCGCGGCGAGCCCGGCGCCACGUCAGGCCGCGGCAGCAGCCCACAGCAACAGUCGCCAGCAGCGCCAAUCGGCCCUCCGUUACCGAAAGAGCCGCUCAGCGACACGCCACUGCGAGCCCGGCAGCAGCGAGCGCCCCGCCAGAAGCAUCGCGAAGCCAUGAGGACGAGGUCGACCGGCGAGCAGGCGCGCCACCCACGCGAGGUCGCGAAGGCUCCACGGCGUGAGAUCAUGAUGGUCGGCAAAGAGUGCCAGAGCGGGGGCCGCUCGGCAGGACGGCGACGAUGAUGUCGCCGACUGAGUGUCGCGCCGCAGCCAGAGCAGUACUGAUGCACUACAGCUGACCUAAGCAACGCCAGGGACGCCAUGGAGGCGCCACAGGGGAUCGGCGCGGCCACGAAGGCCGGCCAGGAACUACUGCCGACAAGGAGGGUCAGGGCGCCGAGGCGCCCUAACGCAACCAAGCGGAGUAGAACGCUUAUGUUUUAUUAUAGUUAGCGAAGCUAUCUACGGGUCCUCUGGAAAGUGUGACGCAUCCUGUGCGUCGUCGCGUACAGCGCGAUUUCGGCCGAACGCAUUGACAUAGCCGAAUGAUCAUAGCUUCCUCUAUACGUGAUCUUGGUCCCAGGGCGCGAGAGCGAGUGCAGCGUAUGAACGAGGCCAAUAACUGCGCUUCAUUGUCAGGCGCGAAAAUGCGCGUAGCUAUAACCUACAUCGCAAUUCACAGGUAGCACAGAUAAGGCUGUCUGAAAGCACUAGAACAUGCACAUGAAAGCCAACUCGACCGAUCACAAACACGAAAGCUUUCGCGUAGAUGACGAGGAGACGUAUCCAUGCAUAACGUUGAUAUAUGCAGAAAUGCACAGUUG
rnacentral:lncRNA from 1 species